GUGAACGCUGGCGGUAGGCCUAACACAUGCAAGUCGAACGGCAGCACAGUAAGAGCUUGCUCUUACGGGUGGCGAGUGGCGGACGGGUGAGGAAUACAUCGGAAUCUACUUUUUCGUGGGGGAUAACGUAGGGAAACUUACGCUAAUACCGCAUACGACCUGCGGGUGAAAGCAGGGGAUCUUCGGACCUUGCGCGAUUGAAUGAGCCGAUGUCGGAUUAGCUAGUUGGCGGGGUAAAGGCCCACCAAGGCGACGACCCGUAGCUGGUCUGAGAGGAUGAUCAGCCACACUGGAACUGAGACACGGUCCAGACUCCUACGGGAGGCAGCAGUGGGGAAUAUUGGACAAUGGGCGCAAGCCUGAUCCAGCCAUACCGCGUGGGUGAAGAAGGCCUUCGGGUUGUAAAGCCCUUUUGUUGGGAAAGAAAAGCAGCAGGUUAAUACCCCGCUGUUCUGACGGUACCCAAAGAAUAAGCACCGGCUAACUUCGUG
rnacentral:rRNA from 1 species